rnacentral:rRNA from 1 species
AGAGUUUGAUCCUGGCUCAGGACGAACGCUUGCGGCGUGCCUAAGAAAUGCAAGUCGAACGGGGGCUUCGGCCCCAGUGGCGAACGGUCGCGUAACACGUAAGCAACCUGCCCUGAAGUGGGGGACAACAUCCCGAAAGGGGUGCUAAUACCGCAUGUGGUCACGAGUCGGCAUCGACUUGUGUCUAAAGAUUUAUCGCUUCAGGAUGGGCUUGCGGCCUAUCAGGUAGUUGGUGGGGUAAUGGCCUACCAAGCCGACGACGGGUAGCUGGUCUGAGAGGACGAUCAGCCGGAUUGGGACUGAGAUACGGCCCAGACUCCUACGGGGGGCAGCAAUUAGGAAUCUUGCGCAAUGGGGGAAACCCUGACGCAGCGACGUCGCGUGAAGGAUGAAGGCCCUCGGGUCGUAAACUUCUUUUGAGUGGGAAGAAAUUUGACGGUACCACUCGAAUAAGCCCCGGCUAACUACGUGCCAGCAGCCGCGGUAAUACGUAGGGGGCGAGCGUUGUCCGAAGUUACUGGGCGUAAAGCGCGCGUAGGCGGUUAUUUAAGUCUGGGGUGAAAGGUUCAGCGCUCAACGUGAACAGUGCCUUGGAUACUGGAUGACUUGAGUCUGGGAGGGGGAAGGGGAAUUCCUGGUGUAGCGGUGAAAUGCGUAGAUAUCAGGAGGAACACCGGUGGCGAAGGCGCCUUCCUGGCCUAAGACUGACGCUGAGGUGCGAAAGCGUGGGGGAGCAAACGGGAUUAGAUACCCCGGUAGUCCACGCCGUAAACGAUGAGUGCUAGGUGUCGGGGGUAUCG